CAUUUUAUCCAUGGCCUGCACCUUCAGAGAAGCACAGAUAACAGAAAUGGAGAUAUCGUAUCCAACGAGUAGAGAUUGUGGAGAAAAGGAAGAAGACUAAAACAUAGGUAGGGACAGAUAGACAGAAGGUCUGGAAAUGUUACACUCUGAAAUUCCCUUGUCCUUCGUACUGGCCCUCCCCCCUCACUAAGCCUGCCUCAAGGCAGAGUUAUUGUUCCUGCCUAUCAGUGUCAUUUCAACAGGGCGUGAGGAACGUUGGGGCAAGUGAGAGUGGAGAUGAGGCAGUCACCGUGCAGUGAGAAGGCAGUGCACUUCUGUUUCACCUGCAGCACCGCUGACCCGAGACUCGAGAAUGUGAACAUGCUCUAGAAGCAACUGAGGAGAGAGGAAACUAGACGGAUACACAAACAGACUUGUUUUGUGUACUGGUCAAGUGUGCAUCGUUGCAUGAUCUCAGUGUUCUGCACGUACACAAGACCAUAAAUCCAAGCCAAUCAGACAUAAGGAGGUGUGAAUGAUAGGAUGUACCUGUAAGAUGGACCUGGGAGCGACUGUGUGGCACACCCAGACAACAGUGGACGCUGAUGUGGAGAAAGGUCCCGAGCUGCAGUGCUCCAUCUGUUUCACCACGUAUGACAAUGUCUUCAAAACGCCCAAACAGCUGGACUGCACACAUACAUUCUGUCUGGAGUGCCUCUCACGCCUCAUGGCCAUCUCCAUGGACCCUGAGGAGAGCAAAAUCUCGUGUCCUUUCUGCCGCCACUUGACAGCCAUCCCUAAAAAUGGCCCGCCGGCUCUGACUACCAGCCAUGAGGUUCUGUGUCGUCUUCCCAGGCAUCAGCAACACGAGGAGCCCGUGUGGCUCGAUGGGGACAAGCUGUGCUACAACCGGCCACUUAAGACAGGCAUGCCGGCUUUCUGCAUCUGCAUUGACAUUGGUGCCAGUGGGCAUGGUGCAGGUGCUCCGCGUCAGACGCGCCCCAGGGUGAGCCUGAUGGAAAGACUUGCUAACUGGAAGAAGCUGCUGCUGUUUAUUGUAAUCAUGGUGCUGGUGGCGGUGAUUGUGCUGUGGCCGUUGCAGUGUAUCAUCACCACAGGGUCGAUGCGCUGCGUGCCUCGCACCCCACAGCCCAACCCCAGCACAUCUCCACGCACACUGAUGUACACUGAUGACUGACACACAAACAAACUGUUCAUCUUACACUCCUGAGACCUGUACACUCAGUGAUGAUUGGCAAGACACGAAUGAAAUGUUAUUAUUAUUAUUAGAAACUGAGAAUGGGCUUGAAACCGUGUCCAAAACCAUCCAUAUGACCUUCAUUCAUUCAUUUUUAGUAGCCACUUUAUCUUGGACAGGGUUGUGUUGGAUCCAGAGUCUAUCCUGGGAAUACUGAACAUGAGGUGGGAAGACUGGAUGGAUGCCAGUCCAUCGCCAGCAGCAUACACACACACACACUUUCACAUCUAGGGGAAAUUUAGCAUCACCAAUCCACCUACUGUGUUGUUUUGGGAGGUGGGAUGAAACCUGAGAAGCCAAAAGAGACCCAGAUGGACACAGGGAGAACAAGAAACACUCCACACAGACAGUAACCUGAGCUCAGGAUCGAAACCUGGAGCUGUGAAGUGGUGACGCUUCCAGCUGCGAGACAAAUCAAUGGCUAAAUCUUUGAUUAGUAUUAGUUUACUGAGACUCGUGUUCAUCUGCAGAAAAGCACAGGGCUGGACUUACUAUAGAUCUAAUGAGGUGAUGAGAGGUAGGAAAAGCACAGGGAGGGGUUACUAUAGCUCUAAUAGGAGGUGAUGAGAGGUAGGAAAAGCACAGGGAGGGGUUACUAUAGCUCUAAUAGGAGGUGAUGAGAGGUAGGAAAAGCACAGGGCUGGACUUACCAUUGAUCUAAUAAGAUUAUGAGAGGUAGGAAAAGCACAGGGAGGGGUUACUAAAGAUCUAAUGAGAUGAUUAGAGGUAGGAAAAGCACAGGGCUGGACUUACUAUAGAUCUAAUAAGAUGAUUAGAGGUAGGAAAAGCACAGGGCUGGACUUACUAUAGAUUUAAUGAGAUGAUGAGAGGUAGGAAAAGCACAGGGAUGGGUUACUAUAGAUCUAAUGAGAUGAUGAGAGGUAGGAAAAGCACAGGGAGGGGUUACUAUAGCUCUAAUGAGGUGAUGAGAGGUAGGAAAAGCACAGGGAGGGGUUACUAAAGAUCUAAUGAGAUGAUUAGAGGUAGGAAAAGCACAGGGCUGGACUUACUAUAGAUCUAAUAAGAUGAUUAGAGGUAGGAAAAGCACAGGGCUGGACUUACUAUAGAUUUAAUGAGAUGAUGAGAGGUAGGAAAAGCACAGGGAUGGGUUACUAUAGAUCUAAUGAGAUGAUGAGAGGUAGGAAAAGCACAGGGAGGGGUUACUAUAGCUCUAAUGAGAUGAUGAGCGGUAGGACACCUGUGGAAGGGUAAAAGACUGUAACGUGAUGUAAACAGGUCUAAUACUAUGUUCAUCUUCAGCACUUUCUAAAAUAUUUACAUUUUUCCACGUCUAAAUCAGAAUCUUUGAAUUAAGAAAGGAAUGUAAAUUAGUUUGUGGUUAAUUCCAAGUCUGGCUGGGUAUUUUUUUUUUAAGAUCCAAUGCCAUGUUUUGUUUUGUUUUUUUAAACUUGUAUAAAAAAAUGAUUGAAAUUAGAAAUCUCAGAACAGUAUUCAAAGUGGUUCUUUAAAGUGGACAUGAGACACCUCAUGCCAAAAUCCAUUAAAAGGUUAUAUUAACUUUUUAAUAACUGCACUAUGAAUAUCCUUAUGUGGCUUUCAUACAUAAACAUUUCUAUAGUUGUGUAUAAUUUUAUAUGCGCUGUAUAUAGAAUAUUUGUUCUCACUGUAUUAUGGACUACAUUUUUUUUUUUUUUUUUUUGCCUAUCAAAAAAUAAAUGCUGACUAAAC